UACGGGGGGUGCAAGCGUUGUUCGGAUUUACUGGGCGUAAAGGGCGCGUAGGCGGCGCGACAAGUCACUUGUGAAAUCUCCGGGCUUAACCCGGAGCGGCCAAGUGAUACUGGAGUGCUAGAGUGCGGAAGGGGCUACUGGAAUUCUCGGUGUAGCGGUGAAAUGCGUAGAUAUCGAGAGGAACACCUGCGGCGAAGGCGGGUAGCUGGGCCGACACUGACGCUGAGGCGCGAAAGCCAGGGGAGCGAACGGG
rnacentral:rRNA from 1 species